ACACGGCCGCAGUUAGGGAACCUCCGGCCUACUAUAUGGUGGUGGUAACACAGGAAGCUGGACGUCCCCGUGGAAUCCAGAAAGACGGAGCCCGGAGGAAGCACAUGUCCCCACUGGUCCAGCAGCGGCUGAGGCGAAGGCCGCAUGUGACUUUGUGGACCGUGACACGUUACCAGGAAGCACAAAUCUGGCUGCGCCACAUUACCGCCGGCUCUGAGGAUCCCGUUACCGAGGGGCUUCCGUUCUCGAUUGGCGUACAGUCCUCCGCGUGAACCCUCCUCAGCUCGCCGGAAGGGAGAAACGGGUGUUUCAGAAGUGACGCUUCUCCAUAUUUGCGGGGAUUUCGACAUCAUCAUAAUCAUCUAGAGGCUCGAUGUAGCUCGGGAUGGAGAGGGUCUUAUUUCUGACCUUAUUGACCAGCGAGUAUGUGGCCGGCGGCUGGCUCGGGGUGUCCUGUGGGACUAGAGCACACGAAAAGGUCCUUGCAGCCCAAGCUGCUGUGUGUUUUCAUACAUAUAUAAAAAGACAGAGACAGUGCAAGUGGGGGAGGGACAGAGAACCCCAAGCAGGCUCCGUGCUGCCAGCGCAAAGCCGUACGCGGGGCUUGAACUCACGAAACCGUGAGAUCAUGACCUGAGCCGAAACCAGGAGUCGGACGCUCAACUGGCCGAACCACGCAGGCGCCCCCAUAUGUAUUUUUGACUCAGUGACUCAGCAUGAUUUCCAUGGGCUUGGGUGGUCUGGCUACUUCCUGGUGGACCAGCUCCCCAUUUGAUGGGGGACACUGUUGUACAGACAGGACACCGUCUCAGGAUCGGCCGAGUGGGUGAAUGGCAGACGGCAGUCAGACGCCCUGGCUCCCACGUCCCCCUGCCUGAGCCCGCACGACACAGAAAACGCAAAGCGGAAGUGCAGACGGCACGCUGACCCGAGCCAGUCCCCGAAUGAGCACGGUCAUGGGAGACCCCCAUUCUCACGAGGAAGUGAUACGAAGCUUAUUUCCUUUUUGGCACAUCCCUCACAGUGACUUAGUGUUUUCCAGAACAUUCCAUGAUUGCUCGGGCACGAAUCUCUGCUCAGAAGGAAGGGGACAGCAGGGUUUGCAAAAGGUAGAAUGAGUGAAGAGGGAACACGUAGCAAAAGCCCCAAGGUGGCCGCGGGAAGGAAGACGAAACGGCAGCUAGACCUCAGACCCUCAGAUGGGGUCGCCGCGGCCUCUGCCGCGACUCUGUCUUUCCCAAGAGGACCUGAGAAGAAGACCGCCGUCAUUCCCUGCACAGCCCUGCGGCGAGACCCAAGUUCACAUCCAGGCUCCAGCAGUCACUCGCUGUGUCGCCUUGGGUGAGACACUGAACUUCUGUGUGUCUCAGUGUCCCCAUCUGUCAAAGGGGAAUAACGAAUGUGCCUGCCUCGUAGUGCUGUUGAGAGGCCGACAGGAGAUCAUGCCUGUGAAGUGCGUCACACGGGCCCGGACACACGGGGGCUGCCCCAUACAUGUAAGCUCUUAUGUGUCCAUUCGGUCAAGACCUGAAUUGUCUCCUAACCUCCAGGCACCGUUCUUAGUGGCCAGUAAACCGUGGUGAGGAAGACGAGAGGCUCCUGUUUCCCGGAGUUUCUGUUCCAGGGGAGGAGAGAGAUCUUAAACACACGAGCAGCAGAUGGACGAAGAUGACAAGGUCUCACUCCUUGUGGAGCCCGGACCUUUCGGCGACCGGCGAGCAGGGUUCUGAGGCUGUCCCAGACGCCGUGGCAGAAAACUGCUUCGUUGGGGAAUGAUUGACCCAGAAAAGGCUGUGCGUAUCCGGUGUAUACAACACGCGUACCACUCGAUGUGCUUGGAGCUGAGACAGCCUCUGACAUUCUCUGGACUCGUGCUGUCUUCUGAGUCCCAAAGAACUGAAAGCGGAACCCUCGUUCAAGAGCUUCCAGCACUGCCAAGACCUCAGCCUUCAGCCGUGCCCUGUUCGGCGUACUUACAACCGCGUCAUCCUGCCCUCAGGACAGACUCUGGAUCUCAUUCACACUGUGACCUCCGCAACUGAUAACAGCUUAAGUGUGUGUGUGUGGGGGGGAGGUGCUCCACCGUCAGAAUGAUGAAAACCCAGAAGACCCAGAAGAGAAGCUGGGACACUGAGGCCGAGGAAAGGUUGCCUCGUCCGGGGCUGGGUGCUGGGCAGAGGCGGGGGCGGGGGGGGGGGAGGCAGACCCGUGCGUGAGCCCACGUCCCGUGACUCCGGCGGGUUACCGGACGUUUGUUCCCGGCGGUCCACACUGGCGAGUCAGCUCCGCCACCCAGAGCGGGGCCCAUCUCUCUGCCACUGUCUCCGUCACCUGGAAGACAGUAGGCGCUCGGUGCGGGUCUGCGAGCGGAUGAACGUGACUGCCGCCUCUCUCCCGGCCCUACAGGUGCGCUCCGCCUCGGAUGAUGCAGGCGGGAGGGCGGUUUGGGGUCUGCCUCCUAACCGUCCAGCCGCCUGGCCUGGCCUGGCCUGGCCUGGCCUGGCCUCGCCACCCGCCACCGGCCGCGGGCAUUGGGCGCUGGCCCGGGAAGCCGAGACCCUGCCUGCCUGCACGUGGGUGUCUCUGCUUUCCUCCCAUGACGCACAUCCUCGCCCUCGCCGCGGGGGAGGCACUGAGCCCAGGCACCCACCCGGCCCCGGCUCUCACUUCCCCAAAAGGCAUUUCCAGGGAGUCGGCGACGGAAGUCCCAGUCCAACCCCCGCUGGGAAUUCUGGAGACUGGCUUGAUUCCACACUCGCUUUUUCCUGGGUUUUUUUUCGUUUUUUUUUUUUUUUUAACCAAAUUCUGUAGUGUAAGAAAUAGCUUACGACAUGACAGCCAUGCAUACGUCCACACGCAGGACACGUCUCCCGAAAUGUCUCUCUGACCCCUGAGGAGCUCCAGCAUUUUCGCCCCUAAUCCAGCCUCGCUCGUGAAAAAUGUAUUGGUGUGAGGCCCCUGUGUUUCUUUCAAGACCCACGCUACUGCUCAAGUCCUGCGUGAUUGAAAAACUCGACUUUUUCUCACGAGAAAGGAAUGAUCUGAAGUAGUCAUGAGUCCCAAAAGGCGGGGAGAACGUGUGUGUGUGUGUGUGGGGGCGGGGGGAUGGGGUUCUAGGAGGCUGGAGAGGCUUCGGGGAAGUUUCCGUGGGACGAGGCAGGUCGCACGCAGCUCCGUGGGAGGAUGGGGCCCCGCCCCUUGCUCGCUGCCUGGAGUUAGGGCUUCCAGGCUAAUCCCCUUGGCCGAGGCCAGCCCUGCCUGAGACCACGAGGCUGUGGGGCACCUGCUGGGUCUCAAAGACUCAGUGUGGGGGCGCCUGGGUGGCUCAGUGGGUUGGACGUUCGACUCUUGAUAUGGCCCAGGUCAUGAUCUCAUAGAGCAUGAGAUCAAGCCCCACGUCGGGCUCUGUGCUGACAACGUGGAGGCUGCUUGGGAUUCCCCAUCCCUCCCCCCUCUCUGCCCCUCCCCUGCUCUCUCUCUUCCAAAAUAAAUAAAUAACGUAAAAAGAAAAAUGCUUAGUGUGGAAGGAAGAACAUAAAAGAUCUAGUUAAUAAACGUUUAUAUGGAU